rnacentral:rRNA from 1 species
CCUACGGGUGGCAGCAGUGGGGAAUAUUGGGCAAUGCGCGAGAGACUGAACCAGCCACGCCGCGUGAAGGAUGAAGGAUUUAGGGUUUGAAAAGUCCUUUUAUAGGGGAGUAAAUUGAGGAACGUGUUCCUUUAUGUAUUUACCAUAUGAAUAAGCAUCGGCUAACUCCAUGCCAGGAGCCGCGGUAAGACGGAGGAUGCGAGCGUUAUCCGGAUUUAUUGGUUUGAAAGGGUACGUAGGUGGUGAAUUAAGUCAGCGGUGAAAGUGUGUGGCUCAACCAUAAUAUUGCCGUUGAAACUGGUUGACUUGAGUAUAUGUGAGGGAGGCGGAAUGCGUGGUGUAGCGGUGAAAUGCGUAGAUAUCACGAGGAACUCCGAUAGCGAAGGCAGCUUACUAACCUAUAACUGACACUGAAGUACGAAAGCGUGGGGAGCAAACAGGAUUAGAUACCCUGGUAGUC